rnacentral:rRNA from 1 species
UACAGAGGGGGCAAGCGUUGUUCGGAAUUACUGGGCGUAAAGGGCGCGUAGGCGGCCUGUUAAGUCGAACGUGAAAUCCCCGGGCUCAACCCGGGAACUGCGUCCGAUACUGGCAGGCUUGAAUCCGGGAGAGGGAUGCGGAAUUCCAGGUGUAGCGGUGAAAUGCGUAGAUAUCUGGAGGAACACCGGUGGCGAAGGCGGCAUCCCGGACCGACACUGACGCUGAGGAGCGAAAGCCAGGGGAGCAAACGGG